rnacentral:piRNA from 1 species
AGAACGGAAGAAACUGAGACUCCUA